rnacentral:rRNA from 1 species
CAGUAGCCGCGGGAAUACGGAGGGCGCGAGCGUUACCCGGAUUUACUGGGCGUAAAGGGCGUGUAGGCGGCCUGGGGCGUCCCAUGUGCAAGGCCACGGCUCAACCGUGGAGGAGCGUGGGAUACGCUCAGGCUAGAGGGUGGGAGAGGGUGGUGGAAUUCCCGGAGUAGCGGUGAAAUGCGCAGAUACCGGGAGGAACGCCGAUGGCGAAGGCAGCCACCUGGUCCACUUCUGACGCUGAGGCGCGAAAGCGUGGGGAGCAAACAGGAUUAGAUACCCCAGUAGUCCCUGUCUCUUAUAC